UACAUCCUGCGAUGUUCGUUUCGGUUUUUAAUGUUUUAAACCAAUGACUGUUUCACGGGAGACCUACUAUCGCACUACGGCUGACAUGCCCUCGAAAAGGGACUUCAAAAGUGUUGCUGCGGUCACCCACCUGCGAGAGCGGGUUUGAAACACCUAAAUCGGACGGCAUAUGCGGGUUUUUC
rnacentral:other from 1 species